UACAGAGGUCUCAAGCGUUGUUUCGGAUUCAGUUGGGCGUAAAGGGUGUGUAGGUGGCGCCGUAAAGUCGGGUGUGAAAUUUCGGAGCUUAACUCCGAAACUGCAUUCGAUACUGGCGUGCUUGGAGGACUGGAGGAGGAGUACUGGAAUUCAUGGUGUAGCAGUGAAAUGCGUAGAGAUCAUGAGGAAGACCAGUGGCGAAGGCGGGU
rnacentral:rRNA from 1 species